rnacentral:tRNA from 3 species
GGGGUAUUAGCUCAGCUGAUAGAGCGCAGCAUUCGCAUUGCUGAGGUCAAGGGUUUGAAUCCCUUAUACUCCACCA